rnacentral:rRNA from 1 species
UUUAAAGUCUAAUCUGCCCUAUGAGGAUUUAAAUGGCCGCGGUACUUUGACCGUGCAAAGGUAGCAUAAUAAUUAGUUUUUUAAUUGAAAGCUGGAAUGAAUGAUUGGACGAGAAAAUAACUGUCUCAAUUUAAUUUUUUUUAGAAUUUUAUUUUUAAGUAAGAAAGCUUAAAUUUAAUUAAAAGACGAGAAGACCCUAUAGAGUUUUAUAUUUAAAUUUAUUAUUAGUUUUUUAGAAUUAUUUUAUUAAUAUAAAAUUAAAUAUUUUAUUGGGGCGAUAGAAAAAUAUUAUUAACUUUUUUUAUUAUUAAUUCAUUAAUUUAUGAAUCAAUGAUCCAUUUUUUAUGAUUAAAAGAAUAAGUUACCUUAGGGAUAACAGCGUUAUUUUUUUUUAGAGUUCUUAUCGAAAAAAAAGAUUGCGACCUCGAUGUUGGAUUAAAAUAUAUGUUUGGUGUAGAGGCUAAAUAAUUAGGUCUGUUCGACCUUUAAAAUUUUACA